GAUUAAGCCAUGCAUGUGUAAGUAUAAAUAGUUAACUUUGAAACUGCGAAUGGCUCAUUAUAUCAGUUAUAGUUUAUUUGAUGAAGAAUACUAAUUGGAUAACCGUAGUAAUUCUAGAGCUAAUACAUGUAUAAAGUCUUGUAGACUGCAUUUAUUAGAAUGAAAACCAUAGGUUUCGGCCUAUUCGUGAGUAAUAAUAACUAAUCAUAUCGUAUGCUUGAGUAACGAUGUGUCUUUCAAGUUUCUGCCCUAUCAGCUUUCGAUGGUAGUGUAUUGGACUACCAUG
rnacentral:rRNA from 1 species